AGGGGAUCUAGUAAAGAGGUUUACAAUAUACUAAUAACUUGACUAAAAGAAUUGACUAAUUAUUAUUCCUUCAUCAAUGCACACCGGUAAAAAACAGUAAAAAAACAAAAAAAUCAAUAGAAAAUUAAAUAGAAUAACGAAAUUCGGGAUUUUCAAAGUCGGUCAAAUCCUUUUUGUCUUCCUCACUCAAUUCAUUUGAUAAAUAUUCGUUUUUUUCAUCCCUUCUGCGAUUCUCUCGCACAUUAACGGCAUAAAUAGCAAUAAUAAUAAAUAUAGCAACGCAAUAACAAACGACAAAUGAUACUUUAGCUCCUUGGUAUUUUGGAGCUUGUGUAG